rnacentral:rRNA from 1 species
UACGAAGGUCCCGAGCGUUGUUCGGAAUCACUGGGCGUAAAGGGAGCGUAGGCGGCAUGGUAAGUCAGAUGUGAAAUCCCGGGGCUCAACCCCGGAACUGCAUCCGAUACUGCCUUGCUUGAGGGUUGGAGAGGUGACUGGAAUUUACGGUGUAGCAGUGAAAUGCGUAGAUAUCGUAAGGAAGACCAGUGGCGAAGGCGAGUCUCUGGACAGUUACUGACACUGAGGCACGAAGGCCAGGGGAGCGAACGGG